rnacentral:tRNA from 1 species
AAAAAAUUAGUUAAAUUAUAACAUUAGUUUGUCAAACUAAAAUUAUUAACUCAUUAAUAUUUUUUA